AAAUUUAUUGGUCAAGCUACGUAGAGCAUACGGUGGAUGCCUUGGCAUCAGGAGGCGAUGAAGGGCGUGGCUAGCUGCGAUAAGCCUCGGGGAGUCGCUAACAGGCUUAGAUCCGGGGAUACCCGAAUGGGGAAAGCCGAUUCCAGUCAUGUGGAAUCACCCCCCGCUGAAUUCAUAGGCGGGACGGAGCGAACCAAGGGAAGUGAAACAUCUCAGUACCUUGAGGAAGAGAAAUCAAUUGAGAUUCCCUUAGUAGUGGCGAGCGAACGGGGAAGAGCCUAAACCAGGUUUAUGUAAGCUUGUGGGCGUUGUAAAUCUGGUGUUGCGGGACCUAGCCGGGCUGUUCCACAAAACAGCCGGAGAGUUACAAACCUUUUUCUUAGUUGAACAGUCUGGAACGACUGACCAAAGAUGGUGAUAGUCCAGUAGGCGAAAAGGGAAAGGCUCUUUGGGUUGGGUUCCCGAGUACCACGGGGCACGUGAAACCCUGUGGGAAUCUGGGAGGACCAUCUUCCAAGGCUAAAUACUACCUGAUGACCGAUAGUGAACCAGUACCGUGAGGGAAAGGUGAAAAGCACCCCGGUGAGGGGAGUGAAAUAGUACCUGAAACCGUAUGUCUACAAGCAGUGGAAGCACUAUGAACCGCCUUAGGCGGUUAACGUGCGACCGCGUGCCUUUUGCUUAAUGAGCCGGCGAGUUAUUCGGUGUAGCAAGGUUAAGUCGAAAAGAUGGAGCCGUAGCGAAAGCGAGUCUGAAUAGGGCGAAUGAGUUGCACUAAAUAGACCCGAAGCCAAGUGAUCUACCCAUGUCCAGGAUGAAGCGCAGUUAACCCUGCGUGGAGGUCCGAACCAGUGAACGUUGAAAAGUUCUUGGAUGAGGUGUGGGUAGGGGUGAAAGGCUAAUCAAACUUGGUGAUAGCUGGUUCUCCUCGAAAUAGCUAGAGGGCUAGCCCUGCAAAGUAAGUAACGGGGGUAGAGCACUGAAUGGACUAGGGGCCUUACCAGGCUACCAAACCCAAUCAAACUCCGAAUACCGUUAACUGUUAUUGCAGGAGUCAGACUACGGGAGCUAAGUUCCGUGGUCAAAAGGGAAAGAGCCCAGACCGCCAGCUAAGGUCCCUAAAUAUGUGCUAAGUGGGAAAGGUUGUGGGAACGCUCAGACAGCCAGGAGGUUGGCUUAGAAGC
rnacentral:rRNA from 3 species